rnacentral:lncRNA from 1 species
CGGCUGGGCCCGCCUCCUUGAGCCAAAGCCCCUAAUGAGGCCAGCUCAGGAAGAUUCCUCUGGACCAGUCUCAGCCUCAGCAGGAGGGACGGACAGGGACUUUGGACAAGACUGAGGCUCUGAGAGGUUGUGGAGGUGUCACCCAGCUGGAUAAGGGUCAGAAAUAAGAUGGAAAGUAUUCCGAUCUCUGUAAUGACAAUACCCAGCACUUACACAGAACCUUCUACGGGACCCGCACGGCACAUCUAUUCACUCAUUCAAUCCUCCAGCAACCCACGAGGGCAGGACUGUCGCUGUCUUGGUGCCACACGCGAGGAAACUGAGGCACAGAGAAAGAAGCUCGCCAAAGGUGCCUGGAAUGAAUCCCACUCGUCCCCAGUUUCCACUCCAGGGAACAGGAAGAUAAGACUGCCCAGACUCACCAGAGCGUGGAGUGCAGCCACCAGGUCCAGUAGGGACCGGACCCUACUUGUCCUGCACACACAGGAGAUUAGGCACUG